rnacentral:rRNA from 1 species
GACGAACGCUGGCGGCGUGCUUAACACAUGCAAGUCGAACGGAAAGGCCCCUUUGGGGGUACUCGAGUGGCGAACGGGUGAGUAACACGUGAGUAACCUGCCCUUGACUUCGGGAUAACUUCAGGAAACUGGGGCUAAUACCGGAUAGGAAUCCUUGCUGCAUGGUGGGGGUUGGAAAGCUUCGGCGGUUUUGGAUUGACUCGCGGCUUAUCAGCUUGUUGGUGGGGUAGUGGCUUACCAAGGCUUUGACGGGUAGCCGGCCUGAGAGGGCGACCGGCCACAUUGGGACUGAGAUACGGCCCAGACUCCUACGGGAGGCAGCAGUGGGGAAUAUUGCACAAUGGGCGGAAGCCUGAUGCAGCAACGCCGCGUGCGGGAUGACGGCCUUCGGGUUGGAAACCGCUUUCAGCAGGGGCGAAGCUUGUGGUGACGGUACCUGCAGAAGAAGCACCGGCUAACUACGUG